rnacentral:rRNA from 1 species
AUACGUAGGGUGCAAGCGUUAAUCGGAAUUACUGGGCGUAAAGCGUGCGCAGGCGGUUUUGUAAGACAGUGGUGAAAUCCCCGGGCUCAACCUGGGAACUGCCAUUGUGACUGCAAGGCUGGAGUGCGGCAGAGGGGGAUGGAAUUCCGCGUGUAGCAGGGAAAUGCGUAGAUAUGCGGGGGAACACCGAUGGCGAAGGCAAUCCCCUGGGCCUGCACUGACGCUCAUGCACGAAAGCGUGGGGAGCAAACAGGAUUAGAUACCCUGGUAGUCCACGCCCUAAACGAUUUCAACUGGUUGUUGGGGAUUUAUUUUCUCAGUAACGAAGCUAACGCGUGAAGUUGACCGCCUGGGGAGUACGGCCGCAAGGUUAAAACUCAAAUGAAUUGACGGGG